rnacentral:snRNA from 1 species
GGAUGUGAGGGUGAUCUGGCUGCGACAUCUGUCACCUCAUUGAUAGCCAGGGUUGAUUCGGCUGAUCUGGUUGGCUAGGUGGGUGUCCCCUUCCUCCCUCACUGCUCCAUGUGAGUCCCUCCCUAAGCUGCAGCCAGAUCGCCCUUACAUCCUAUCCCGCUAGGCAGAAGAGAAUGCCCCUACUUCCCCCAGUCCUGGAACCCUUGGAUAGGGCCCAUUUUCCCGGAU